rnacentral:rRNA from 1 species
UACGUAGGGACCAAGCGUUGUUCGGAUUUACUGGGCGUAAAGGGCGCGUAGGCGGCAAAUUAAGUCAUCUGUGAAAUCUCCGAGCUUAACUCGGAACGGUCAGGUGAUACUGAUCUGCUAGAGUGCGGAAGGGGCAAUCGGAAUUCCUGGUGUAGAGGUGAAAUUCGUAGAUAUCAGGAGGAACACCGGUGGCGAAGGCGGCUACCUGGACACCAACUGACGCUGAGGCACGAAAGCGUGGGGAGCAAACAGG